CUCUUUGACAAGAUCAGAAGCAAUGGUGACCUGCUCCAGUGAUCUGCUCCAAUGACUUGCUCCGCUGUAAACAUGCUCAGGUGACUUGCUCCAGUGAUCUGAUCAUCGAUUUGCUCAGUACUUGAUCGAAAAUUAAGGUGUUUGCUUUGAGCAAGAAAAGCAGUAUUGGUUGUGCCCUUUCAAAAUCGAUUUCAGCGAAGUCAAUCUCAUUGGUGAACGGAAAUCGACGUUACCAAAUCUGGUGACGUCAAGCCCCCAGGUGUUUAUGUGCUGAGACGAACUUCAAAGAAACUUUUUUGGCAACAGUUUGCAAGAUUGCAGAUGGAUAAAACUUGGGUCCAUCGUAACAGAGCUUCAAAAGAAUAUGAGAAUGGAGCUAGGGAGUUUGUGAAGAUUGCAAUAAUUAAUGCUGGUUUUCCGAAAAAGAUUCUUUGUCCUUGCAACAAAUGCUAGAAUUUAAGACAUCAACUUUCAGAUGAAGUUGUUGAACACUUGGUAGUGUAUGGCAUGGAAAAAUCUUAUAAAACAUGGUUCCAUCAUGGAGAAGAUCUACAUCAAAAUAGCACGACAAAUGAUGUAUUUCAAAUGAUGUAUUUCAAACUGAUGAAGUAUAUUCGACUAAUGAUGUUGAAGCAUAUUCGACUAAUGUUGAUGAUUUAGAUUAUGAUAAUAGCGAUGAAGAUUUUAAUAUGCUAUUGUUGGAUGCAGAAUCACCAUUGUAUGAAGGUUGCUUAAAGUACACUAAACUUUCAUCUAUUGUUGGCCUAUAUAAUCUGAAAACAAAGCAUGGAUUCUCAGAUGUUGGUUUCACUGAGAUGUUGGAGAUGAUCAAAGCUAUGUUGCCAGAAGAUAAUCUACUUCUAACAUCUAUGCAUGCAGUUAACAAGUUUCUGAAGAAGUUUAAUCUUAACUAUAAGCAUGUCCAUUCUUGUGUUAAUGAUUGUUGUUUGUUUACAAAAGAAAAUAUUGAUGCCCAGGAAUGUCCCAAGUGUAAUUCUUCAAGAUGGAAACAAAAUGUGCACACAAAUGAGAUUUUACUAGGCCAACCUACAAAGUUGUUGAGAUAUUUUCCCAUUACACCAAGGCUUCAAAGGAUGUUUAGAUCUAAGGAGACAACUACAAGUCUAAAGUGGCAUUUUACUAAUAAAAGCACAGAUGGGAAGAUGCGCUAUCCAGUAGAUUCAGAGGCUUGGGAUGCAAUUAAUGAGAGAUGGACAGAUUUUUCACUUGAACCUAACAACCUUCGAUUAGGACUUGCUGCUGAUGGCAUUAACUCUUAUAAAAGUAUGAGUUCUGCAUACAACUGCUAGCCAGUAAUGCUUGUUGUAUACAAUUUACCACUUCAUUGUGCAUGA